rnacentral:rRNA from 1 species
GGAAGUAAAAGUCGUAACAAGGUUUCCGUAGGUGAAACCUGCGGAAGGCUCAUUACCACACCCAAAACAAAAAACAGAGGUCUCCGAUUCGCAAGAUGACGGACUGAUGUUGACCCGCGGAACUUUCGUCUCUGUUUGGUGUAGGCUUGCUUCGGCACCUGCAUCGGCAAUUGAUGCUUUAAGAUCUAAAUUUAACCCGCUCUUCUGUACGAACCUGUUAGAAUCCCCUGCUUCGGUAGGCCUGGCUUGGUAGUAGUCAGAGAGCAACCAUUGAACUAAAGCCGCGAUAAGCUUCUAGUGCUGUUACUUUCGGGUUCAGCCUAGGGGUACGCAAACUUAAUCAAUCACACUUUCAGCAACGGAUGUCUUGGCUCCUAUAACGAUGAAGAACGCAGCGAAAUGCGAUACGUCUUGCGAAUUGCAUAGCCAGCGAGUCAUCAAAAUUUUGAACGCAUCUUGCACUUCCCUUUGGGGAGUAUGUCUGUUGGAGUAUCUGUAGAACCCUCUUGAGCCAUCAGGGCUGUAACAAGCCUCUGAUGGAGAUCGUGGUCUCCCUCCUAUUUAUACAGGAGUCGGAUAGAUGUAAAGGCUUAUGUCUUAGUUCCUCUUCGGAGGCUAAGCUAAGCUAGCGUUUCAGGUGUGCGUCAAAGCCGCAUACUCGAACCAAUCCCUUGUGGAGUUCCUCUUGUAGGACGAAACAAGUUGUGGUCUUUAGUAGAGUUUGCGAUCCCUUUGUAUGCAUUCAACACAACUGAUAAUACAUGGAGAAGUGAGUCUUCUCAAUCAGACCUCCAAUCAGACGAGAAUACCCGCUGAAUUUAAGCAUAUCAAUAAGCGGAGGA